UGAAUACGAGAUGCUACGGCGUCGAAGCAGUCUAUGUCAGACUUCCAAGAAAAGCUUGCACUGUCAAAAACAAAUAAUGCCUGUACCAUAACCGACACAGGUGGGUAGGUAGAGUAUACUAAGGGGCGCGAGAUAAUUUUUUCUAAGGAGCUCGGCAAAAUGACUCUGUAAUUUUGGGAGAAGGAGUGCCUUAUUUUUAAGGUUGCAAUAACAAGAUCCAAGCAACUGUUUACCAAAAACACAGGUCUCCGCGAAGUCGUAAGAUGAUGUAUGGGGGCUGACGCCUGCCCAGUGCCAGAAGGUUAAAGAAGUUGGUUAGCAUUUGUGAAGCUGAUAACUGAAGCCCUGGUGAACGGUGGCCGUAACAAUAAUGGUCCUAAGGUAGCGAAAUUUUUUGUCGGGUAAGUUCCGACCCGCAUGAAAGGCGUAAUGAUUUGGAUACUGUCUCGGAGAGGGGCUUGGUGAAAUAGACUUGUCUGUGAAGAUGUGGACUACCUGCACCUGGACAGAAAGACCCUAUGAAGCUUUACUGUAACUUGAAAUUGAAAUUGGACUUUAUUUGCGCAGUAUAGGUGGGAGGCUUUGAGAAGAAUCUUGUGGGAUUCUUGGAGCCAUUAGUGAGAUACCACUCUUGUAAUGUUAGAUUUUUAACUUUGUAUCAUUUUUUGGUCAAAGAACAGUUUCAGGCGGGCAGUUUGACUGGGGCGGUCGCCUCCCAAACGGUAACGGAGGCGCACAAAGGUUUCCUCUGAACGGGUAGAAAUCGUAUCUAGAGUGUAAAGGCAUAAGGAAGCUUGACUGUGAGACCUAUAAGUCGAGCAGGGACGAAAGUCGGUCUUAGUGAUUUGACGGUGCUGAGUGGAAAGGCCGUCACUCAAUGGAUAAAAGUUACUCUAGGAUAACAGGCUGAUCUCCCCCAAGAGUUUAUAUUGAUGGGGAGGUUUGGCACCUCGAUGUCGGCUCAUCGCAUCCUGGGGCGGUAGUACGUCCCAAGGGUUGGGCUGUUCGCCCAUGAAAGCGGUACGCGAGCUGGGUUCAGAACGUCGUGAGACAGUUCGGUCCAUAUCCGGUGUAGGCGUUAGAAUAUUGAGAGGAGCCUUCUCUAGUACGAGAGGAUUGAGAAGGACAUACCUCUGGUGUACCAGUUAUCGUGCUAACGGUAAAUGCUGGGUAGCUAUGUAUGGAGUGGAUAAUUGCUGAAAGCAUCUAAGUGGGAAGCCCACCUCAAGAUAAGUAUUCUCACC
rnacentral:rRNA from 1 species